UACAGAGACUGCAAGCGUUAUUCGGAUUCACUGGGCGUAAAGGGUGCGCAGGCGGCCGUGUGUGUGAGGCGUGAAAGCCCGGGGCUUAACCCCGGAAUUGCACCUCAAACUACACGGCUAGAGCAUUGGAGAGGGUAGCAGAAUUCACGGUGUAGCAGUGAAAUGCGUAGAUAUCGUGAGGAACACCAGUGGCGAAGGCGGCGACCUGGGCCAAUAUUGACGCUGAGGUGCGAAAGCGUGGGGAGCAAACAGG
rnacentral:rRNA from 1 species